CACCCACAGCAUAUGGAAGUUCCCAGGCUAGGGGUCCGGUUGGAGCAAUAGCUGCCUGCCUACACCACAGCCACAGCAACUUGGGAUCCCAGCCAUGUCUGCAACCUACACCACAGCUCAGAGCAAUGCGGGAUCCCUGACCCACUGAGCAAGGCCAGGAAUGGAACCCACAUCCUAAUGGAUACUAGUCAGGUUUGUUUACCACUGAGCCACUACAGGACCUGGUCCUUUAAAGAAAAAGUUUGCUCACCUCUGGUCUGUAAGAUAAAUUACUAUUGGUGAAAUCGAUGGGUUGAGAGUUUUGCGUGUCACACUUGAUUGUUCGUAGCCCAAUUCUCUUUGUAAAUGUACGGUUUAGUCUCCCACUAGAAGCAUGUUUUCUCAUGUUCAGACGAAGGCAGUUCAUCGAUCUUUUUCAUCUUUGCCAAUCUGGUAAUUAGAAAAUGGUAUUUCUCUUAUUUGCUUUGCAUUUCUCUGAUUUUGAGUGAAAUUGAAUUUACGGUUGUGGGGGUGGGGGUGGGGAGCCUAUGAGGGAAAGAGAAACAAAGAUGAGGUAAAUGAUCAGUCUUCAUUCUGAGAUGUGAGUAACAGAACUGAAUGAACUCAGCAGAGACCCUGCUGCCCUGCCAGCCUGGGGUGCUCAGGGCUCUCAGCCACUCUCUUCCUUUCUGACCGGAAAGAGCGUUCCGGGUGACAACUGCUUCCUUGCUUUGCACUAUCCUGGGUUUAUCAUCCUGUGCACUGUGAACAGCUGCUAGGCGGAAAAUCGAGUUCUGGAUUUGAUCUUGGGGAAAUGGAACUUACACGUGGGGAGAUUCUUACACGCAGGAAAGCUCUUUGAAAGUUCAGCCUCAAAUAAACACUCCCAAGUGCUACCCUGGAGGGUGAGCCACCUUUGAAGUGGAGGAGCAGAGAGGAAACACCUCUUUUCCCCCUGGGGGUUUAGGCUGUGUGGUCUUGGAGAAGGAACUUUUGUUGGUCAGAGUGAUGUGUAAGAACACAGGAUCCAGCAUUUUCCUACCAGACUCCAGGGAAGUGUUUAACCCCUCUUGCUGGUGGUGAGGUCCAGUGAUUUCUGGUUCCAGUGAUGCACUAGCAGGUCCUAGUUUUUCUCCUCUUGAGAGUGAAGAUUGUUCCUUUUGGUGCUAAAGAGGCCAGUGCUGUGGGGAUUACGAGAUGCAAGGGCUAGGGGUCAGCUGAGUCUUUUAGAGUUUGUCAAAUUGAAACAUAAAUUUCUUUGAGAAGAAAGCCUUAUUCCAAAAAGAUAGCAAGGUUCUAAAGUUUUGUCGCUAGAGGACUUGAAGAAAGGCUCCUUAGCAACUAAUUAGAUCUUCAACUUACAUUGGGGUUAUGUUCCAAAAAACCCUUCAUAAGAUGAAAAUACCAUUUGUUGAAAAUACAUUUUCAACAUCACCGCUUAGCCUAGCCUACCUUAAAUGUGCUCAGAACACUUGUGUUAGCCUGCAGUUGGGCAGCAUCUUCUAACGUAUUUUACAAUAAAAUGUUGAAUAGCUCCUGCAAUUUAUUGAACACUGUGCUGAAAGGGAAAAACAGAAUGGUUUUGUGGGUGCAGAAUGGUUGUAUGUAUGUUGAUUGUGAUCUGGUGGCUGAUUGGGUGCUGAGCUCGCUGCUGCCACCCAGCAUCAUGAGAGUAUCGGGCCAUGGAUUGCUAGCCUGGGACAAGAUCAAAAUUCACAACUCCAAGUGCAGUUUCUGCUGAAUGGUGUCUCUUUUACACCAUUGUGAAGUCGAAAAAUCCUAAGUCGGGGGGCCGUCUGUGCUUCAAAUGUGAUAAGUCAGUAAUUACAUUUAAAUGUGUAAAAAUUAGAUUAAGUUCCCAGAGAAGAGCUAUUGGAAAUGACUGUGCUGGAAAUGUGCUAAAUUAAUUAUGGUAAAUCCAUUUAGUGGAUUAGGAUGUGGCUGUUACAAGAAUGCAAUGGAUCCACACGCAUAGAUGUGGAACCUCUUCCAAGAAAUCAAUAAAUGGAAAAGUCAAGGUAAGGGAUGGUAAGUGCCUUGAGUCAGGAUUUCUGAAAGCAGAGGCUGAGGCAGGGAUUGCGGUGCUUUGAGGAGGGAUUGCUCCCAGGAAAAGUGGGUGGUGCGGGGGGAAGAGCUAAGCUAGGAGAUGGUCUCAGUGGACAUCAGCUUUAGCCUGAUUCCACGUGGAGCUCUGGAGCAUAAAUUGUACCACAGUGUCAUGCAACCAUCUGUACCCCCCGUGCUGGCCGGGCCGGUGUGGGGAGGAGGGUUCUCUGUAGGAGGGGUAACUGGGAGCUAUCAGCAGCCAAUACUCACAGCAGCUGGGGUCUGGAGGUGCUGGCUGUAUAGGGCAUCUGGGAAGAGCCCAGUGGCACCUGCUGCAGGAGGCACGCUGCUGUUUGUGGGAAAGGAUGGAUUCACACAAACACAGGAUUUUGCGUGUGUACGAACAGUAAGAGCAGAGGCUCUUAUCGUGGAGUCUACAGAUCCCUAGGGGAUCAUGGAGAGAACCAUACUGCAAUGUAAUUGAUUUCCUCUGCAAUCCUCUGCACUUCAUUUUACUUACUUUCAAGCAUUAUUCUGAGAGGUGCGCCCAUAGGCUUCAUCAGAUAGCUAAGGGGUCCACAAAGCACACACAAAAAUAAAGAGAUGCAGGAAGGGUGGUGGUGUUUGUCUUCCUGAAGUGACAGAGGGGCAGAUACGAGGGGGCUGGGGUCAGGAGUGGGAGAGAGAUUUCCUAUUCUUUGCACAUACUUUUGCACUACUGGAAUUUUUGCUAUGUGCAUCAGUUGUAUUUUAAUAAGAGAAAAAAGAAAAUAUUUGUCUUAAAAAAUUUUUUUUAGGGCUGCACCCACGGCAUAUGGAGGUUCCCAGGCUAGGGGUCGAAUCAGAGCUGUAGCCGCUGGCCUAUGCCACAGCCACAGCAACAGGGGAUCCGAGCUGUGUCUGCGACCUACACCACAGCUCAUGGCAAUGUCGGAUACUUAACCUACUGAGCGAGGCCAAGGAUGGAACCUGCGUUCUCAUGGAUACUAGUCAGAUUUUUAACUCUGAGCCAUGACGGGAACUCCAUCUAAUUCUGGCAUUUGAUGUCAAAGCUUUUUUAUGCGCCUGGUAGAACCCUGCAUAGCUGUCUUUUACUAAUUUUUGCCCAACUCCUAAUCAAAUUACAACUGAAGUGUAAAAUCAUUUAUUAACAUCUAUGCAUGGACUUACAAAAGACACUACUUUUGUUUGCAUGCCAUUUUCAUGAGUCAAAAGCAUGCUUUUAGAGGAAAAUUUUUCUGUAAGGAGAACGAAUUUGGGGGUUGUUUCAUGCUCAAGACUCUUCGCAGAUUUUAUUUUUACUUCUUUUUUAUGGCUGCAUCCGAGGCACAAAGAAGUUUUGAGGCCAGGGGUUGAGUCUGAGCUGCAGCUGUGACCUAUGCCACAGCUGUGGCAGUGCCAGAUCCUUUUAACCCACUGCCCUGGACUGAGGGUCAAACCCAUGCCUCCAUAGCCACCAUAGCUGCUGCAGUUGGAUUCUUAACCCACUGUGCCACAGCGGCAACUCCUCUUGGAAGACUGUAAAUGAAUGUGCACUCUCGACCACUUUGGUUGCCAAGGGAGCUCACUUCUGCCCUGGAUGCGCGUCCUGUGGAGUGAUGUUGGCAGAGAUAAAUGAGUGAGAGUACAAGCGGUUCUAUAAUAACAGUGCAAUUUGGCUAAAGGGUGACAUCAUCUUUUUGCUGUCCUAUCUGCCAUUCUAAGUAGCAGUAAGUUCAGCAUCGCUAGAGAAUGCAUUACAAGGAGGAGAAGACUGGCAAGGUGGGAUAAAACACAUGAAAUGGAAAAUAAAAUGAAAAGGAAGGUAGCCUAGAAUAUAUCCAGUCCGUAGAUACUUUUUUCUUAGGUAGAGUUUUGAUUUCAUUACCCCAUUGUAAUUUGCCAUCACUUUGGAUUGUGUGGAAAGAGGCAACGCUUCUUCCCUGAGAGCUGGUUUGCUAUAUACACACCUGAGUACCACCAGUGGAUAAAUAGGAACAUUGGAAUUGAUUUUAGUAUUUAAAGGGCAUGUGUAAAAGCUGGUAGAUGAAAUGCCUUUAUCAGUUCAGUCCACUCACUGUGAUUCCACAGCUCACUGGUAACACUGGAGGGGGGGUUUGGCUUGGAUACUGAGAGGAAUGUCACCCUCCUUCAAGCUGAUGAACAAGGACAUAGCUUGUUUCUCAGAAGGAGCAGUAUGUGAUUGUGUAUCAGUUCUUUGGAGGUGGGUUGGAGCUAGGACAGUGUCAAUUCAUUGCUUUUUAUUUAUUUAUUUUUUAAGUAACCUCUUUAUUGAGAAAGAAUUCACAUACCAAAAUAUUCUUCCCGUUUGCUAAUUUUUAUUUUUUUCUUUUUCUAAUUAAUUUUUUCCUGUUCACUAAUUUUUAAAUCUCCCUGUCAUCUAAUAUCUCCCUGCCUUGUAAUAUCUCUGUCUUCUAAUGUUCACAGGCAUCCGAUGAAUUUCUGCAAAGGCAUUGAUAAUGGCUUUGAGGAAUGAAUAUGGCAGAUGGAUCAAAUCAAAGAAUCAAAUUUCAAAGCUGGAUUGAAAGUCAUGAAGAGGAAGGAUAAGCAGAAAUGAAGGAAAAAGAGAAUUAUAGGAGUCAAAUGAGCAGUUGAUUAUUGAAAAGAGAAUCUUCUGCUGUUUGAAUAAAGACCAAAGGGCUUUCAUUGUUGGCUCCCCACAGGACUGUGCCUUUUUGAGCUGCACAUCCCAAGAUCAAGAAACCAGAAGGAGCUCAGACUUUAACUAAUUAGCACUCAUGAAAAUUUACUAACCGUCAACAGCAAAUUUACUAGGCAAUUUCAUUUCCAAAGCAUGUUGGCACAUAUCACAGGUAAAAUGUUUUCACAAACACCAUUUUUAACAUAGGAUGUUAUUGGUAGAAACUAUUGUUGUGGCCUAGGGAACAAAUGGUUCAUUGAAAGAGAACUUUGCUGAUCUGGUUUCAAAGAAUUCUAUGAUAUGAAAAAUUCUGUGGAACAGAUGGGAUCAGAAGUCCCUUAACACAGAACAGGCAUAUCUGGUAAUGAAAAUGUUCCUUUGGUGUAGUAUUUUGUAUUAUGUUUAAAAGUAUUAGUAUGCAAGGGACUCAGAAAGGAGCAGAAAUGAGGAAGUAAGUGGGAAUAAUACUUUAUAUGUGAAUA
rnacentral:lncRNA from 1 species